UUCGCAUCCUACUGUAUUAUUUUGAACUGAGAUCAAAUGGAGCCUUUUCCUGUUAUAUCCCAGUUCUUAAGACAUAUUUCUACUAAAAUCUUCUUUUCCGAUUUCUUGAAUGUAUAUACAUGAAAAUCAUACCUGAGUUAUACACAUUUAGUAAGUUCUUUUAUUGAAAUAUCUAAGAUAUAGUAAAUCAAAAUAUUUUUGAGAUCUGGAACGUAAACAUUAUGUGCGUAUGCACACAUAUAUAUUGUGUGUAUAUACACACACAUACAUAUGAUGGCCCAAGUCAGUUUUAUGUAGAUAAGGCACCAGCUCAAGGCGGAGGGCUCAUGGGGAAGCUGAGUGGCCUG
rnacentral:lncRNA from 1 species